rnacentral:tRNA from 1 species
GUCCGCGUGGCCUACCCGAUAAGGCGUCUGACUUCGAAUCAGAAGAUUGCAGAUUCGGAACCUGUCGCGGACG